GACGAACGCUGGCGGCGUGCUUAACACAUGCAAGUCGAACGCUGAACCCGCUUCGGUGGGGGAUGAGUGGCGAACGGGUGAGUAACACGUGGGCAACCUGCCCCCGGCUCUGGGAUAACUCCAAGAAAUUGGGGCUAAUACCGGAUGUGACCGCUGGCCGCAUGGUCUGGUGGUGGAAAGGGUUUCCGGCUGGGGAUGGGCCCGCGGCCUAUCAGCUUGUUGGUGGGGUAGUGGCCUACCAAGGCGACGACGGGUAGCCGGCCUGGGAGGGCGACCGGCCACACUGGGACUGAGACACGGCCCAGACUCCUACGGGAGGCAGCAGUGGGGAAUAUUGCGCAAUGGGCGGAAGCCUGACGCAGCGACGCCGCGUGGGGGAUGACGGCCUUCGGGUUGUAAACCUCUUUCAGCAGGGACGAAGCGCAAGUGACGGUACCUGCAGAAGAAGCACCGGCCAACUACGUG
rnacentral:rRNA from 1 species